rnacentral:tRNA from 1 species
GGCCGUGUGGCCCAAUGGCAAGGCGCUUGACUACGAUGAGUAAAUCAAGAGAUUCCAGGUUCGACCCCUGGCACGGUCA